rnacentral:rRNA from 1 species
GGCGGACGGGUGAGUAACACGUGGGCAACCUGCCCUGCAGAUGGGGAUAACUCCGGGAAACCGGGGCUAAUACCGAAUAAUCAGUCCCUCCGCAUGGAGAGACUCUGAAAGACGGCAUCUCGCUGUCACUGCAGGAUGGGCCCGCGGCGCAUUAGCUAGUUGGUGGGGUAAUGGCCUACCAAGGCGACGAUGCGUAGCCGACCUGAGAGGGUGAUCGGCCACACUGGGACUGAGACACGGCCCAGACUCCUACGGGAGGCAGCAGUAGGGAAUCUUCCGCAAUGGACGAAAGUCUGACGGAGUAAUGCCGCGUGAGUGAUGAAUGUCUUCGGAUUGUAAAACUCUGUUGUUAGGGAAGAACACGUACCGUUCGAAUAGGGCGGUAUCUUGACGGUACCUAACCAGAAAGCCCCGGCUAACUACGUGCCAGCAGCCGCGGUAAUACGUAGGGGGCGAGCGUUGUCCGGAAUUAUUGGGCGUAAAGCGCACGCAGGCGGUCCUUUAAGUCUGAUGUGAAAGCCCACGGCUUAACCGUGGAGGGUCAUUGGAAACUGAGGGACUUGAGUGCAGAAGAGGAGAGUGGAAUUCCAUGUGGAGCGGUGAAAUGCGUAGAGAUAUGGAGGAACACCAGUGGCGAAGGCGACU